rnacentral:rRNA from 1 species
AUUGAACGCUGGCGGAAUGCUUUACACAUGCAAGUCGAACGGUAGAGGGGGCAACCCCUCGAGAGUGGCGAACGGGUGAGUAAUAUAUCGGAACGUGCCCAGUCGUGGGGGAUAACGUAGCGAAAGUUAUGCUAAUACCGCAUACGAUCUAAGGAUGAAAGCGGGGGAUCGCAAUACACCCCGAGAUCGGAGCGGCCGAUAUCAGGAUAGGACGUUGGUGGGGUAAAGCCUCACCAAGCCAACGAUCUGUAGCUGGCCUGAGAGGACGACCAGCCACACUGGAACGGAGAGACGUUACAGACUCCUACGGGGGGCAGCAGUGGGGAAUUUUGGAAAAUGGACGCCAGUCUGAUCCAGCCAUUCCGCGUGAAGGAUUAAGGCCCUCGGGUUGUAAACUGCUUUUGUACGGAACGAAAAGGUCUCUCUUAAUACGGGGGGCUCAUGACGGUACCGUAAGAAUAAGCACCGGCUAACUACGUGCCAGCCGCCGCGGUAA